rnacentral:lncRNA from 1 species
GCCCUGGGGACCAAUCCUGGGGAGCAGGACGGCUAGCAGCAAAUAUGGGGGAGCCAGGACCCACACCCAUCUGAUCCCCAAGGCUGCCCCAGGUCCAGCUGACAGUGGCUCUAAAAUGAACAACUACCGGCGGGCCAUGCAGAGGAUGUCACCACGGGAACAGAUCAGCCUCUUGGAGGAGGAGAACCAGAUACUAAGGCACCUCCUGGUCGAGCGGGAGCUAGAAGGAAGCAGGUUCACUGGACCCCAGGAUCCGGCAAUGUCCAUGAGACAGAAGCUGCAGCGGCUGAUUAGGGUGCGCGAGCUGAAACUGAAGAUGCAGCGCAUGAAGAACGAGCUAAUUCGGAAGAAUGACCGAGAAAAGAAGUGGCUGGAACAGUAUCAGGCACAGCAGCCGAAGGCUGCCCUGAGACGGUUCCAGGUCCCGCUGCAGAAGAUGAAGGCGCUGGAGGACACCGCACGGCACCAUGAGAAGGUGCUAGAAAAGAUGGAGCAGGUGCUGGAGGACCGGCUGCUGCAGGAGAGAAAGGAGCACGCGCCCCCCAGCAGGCAGCUGGGAAAGCCGCACGCAGGAUCUCCUGGCCAGUACUACAGACAAGUUUAACCUCAUGGCCAAGCUGGAGCAGGCUCAGAGCCGUAUAAAAGCCAGAAUACCUUGAUGAACCAUGCCAACAACCUCAAACAGCCCUCAAAGCAGGAAGUCUUGCUGCCCGACUCAGACCCCAAGCCCAAACAGCCUUCAGACACCCAGCUGGAGCCCUCCAGCUCCCAGCAGACCUGAGCCCUGCACAGGCCUCCUCCUUCUCUGUGCACCUGGCAGCAUCACCCCAGCCCCUAAAGAUGACUUUAUUAAAUGCUGAAGCUGAGCCCCAGACUCUGCUGCCUCCUGCCAGAUCCCAUCGGGUCCCCAGCCCUUGGCCACAGCCUUACCACCUCCUGCCUGAACC